rnacentral:lncRNA from 1 species
UAUAUCCAAGAUCCAACUCUUUUAUCAGUUUUUUGGCUUCAUAUGAAGAUGAUGGCAAAGUAACACCUUCCGGAAAUGCAUCCUUUAAUAAUUGAAGAAGCAUGGUAAAAGACUUGCUGGACUACUGAUAGUCAACUUUAAAGACCACGCAAUAGCACGUAUCUAGUAGGAUAGUGAUUACGGGUAUCGAUCCACAGGGAUUGGGGUAUAGUUAUUUUUCUUAAAAAUAAAAAUAUUUGAAAGGAAGAGAAUUUUUGAAGACUAUUAAACUAAGCAAUUGAAUAAAAAAUGCAAUUAAAAUGAUAUCAAUUUGGGAGAAUCUAGGGCAAGGAAUUCACCACUAACAUCGAGACAAGGGUUAUUUAUAUUUCAAUUUAUUCUUGGAUAAACAUGCAAAUUGGCUACAAGCCUAAUAAGCAUUUAAAUAAAAAUUCACAAAAGUAAUUUAGGCAUAAUCC